CCCUUAGAUGUUCUGGGCGGCCCGCGCACUACAUUGGCACUCUCAAUAAGUUCCUAGAUCUAAAACUUUGGGGUAUUCUAUUAAGUGGUGUCGUGACUGGGAUUAACCCUUGCAAUUAUUGGUUACGAACGAGGAAUUCCUUGUAAUCGCGGUUUAUCAGCCCGCGUUGAAUGCGUCCCUGCCCUUUGUACACACCGCCCGUCGCUCCUACCGAUGAAUCGUCCGGUGAAGUUCAUGGAGUGGUGGUUGUUCCAGCUGCUGUCGAAGUGAAAUGGACCUCACGAUUUAGAGGAAGGAGAAGUCGUAAC
rnacentral:rRNA from 1 species